rnacentral:rRNA from 1 species
CUAUCAGGUAGUAGUGGGUGUAGCGUACCUACUAGCCUACGACGGGUACGGGUUGUGAGAGCAAGAGCCCGGAGAUGGAUUCUGAGACACGAAUCCAGGCCCUACGGGGUGCAGCAGGCGCGAAAACUUUACAAUGCCGGCAACGGCGAUAAGGGGACCUCGAGUGCCAGGUUACAAAUCUGGCUGUCGUGAUGCCUAAAAAGCAUUGCAUAGCAAGGGCCGGGCAAGACCGGUGCCAGCCGCCGCGGUAACACCGGCGGCUCGAGUGGUAACCGUUAUUAUUGGGUCUAAAGGGUCUGUAGCCGGCCGGAUAAGUCUCUUGAGAAAUCCAGCAGCUCAACUGUUGGGCUUUCAGGAGAUACUGUUCGGCUCGAGGCCGGGAGAGGUGAGAGGUACUUCAGGGGUAGGGGUGAAAUCUUGUAAUCCUUGAAGGACCACCAGUGGCGAAGGCGUCUCACCAGAACGGACCUGACGGCAAGGGACGAAAGCUAGGGGCACGAACCGGAUUAGAUACCCGGGUAGUCCUAGCCGUAAACGAUACUCGCUAGGUGUCGGCCACGGUGCGACCGUUGUCGGUGCCGUAGGGAAGCCGUGAAGCGAGC